AUCGCUUCUCGGCCUUUUGGCUAAGAUCAAGUGUAGUAGCUGUUCUUAUCAGUUCGCACUUGAUUCUCGGUCUUAGGCUAGGACUGCGAUCCUCUCCUUUGGGUGUCUGGGCGGUGAAACCUUGGUUAUUUAUUGCAGCGCAAAGGUACGUGGUUUUUUAUAGAAAUUAUUUGUUUGUAUUGAAAACGUUU
ensembl:snRNA U2 U2 spliceosomal RNA